AGGGCGUACGGAGGAUGCCUUGACACUAAGAGGCGAUGAAGGAGGUGGCGUGACUGCCUUAAGCUUCGGGGAGCCGUCUAGCGGGCUUUGAUCCGGAGAUUUCCGAAUGGGGAAACCCAGCACAGUAAACCUGUGUUAUCUCGCGCAAGCGAGAUGCGUACCCGGUGAAGUGAAACAUCUCAGUAACCGGAGGAAAAGAAAUAGAAUAGAUCCCCUUAGUAGCGGCGAGCGAAAAGGGAACAGCCUAAACCUGUUGUUGGUUAGCAAUAAUUAAUGACGGGGGUUAUAGGGACAGUACAUUUUUUAAAUCAUGUAACAUGAAACAUGUAACAAUAAUAUGUUGCGUGUCGCGUGUUAUAUGAUUUGAAAUAGAAAGUUACAAAUCCGAGUGUUAGCAGAACGGCCCUGGAACGGCCGACCAAAGAAGGUGAUAGUCCUGUAAGCGAAAACAAUCGGACUUUCGUAUUGUUACCUGAGUAGCCCGAGAUAAGAAUGUCUUGGGUGAAUUUGUCCAUACUACUGGAUAAGGCUAAAUACUCUUAGUGAUCGAUAGUGAACAAGUACCGUGAGGGAAAGGUGAAAAGCACCCCGGUGAGGGGAGUGAAAUAGUAACUGAAACCGUAUGCCUACAAAGAGCGGGAGCGUGCUUCGCACGCAGUUCAUAAAGUUGAAAGUUCUUAAAGUUCAUAAAGUAAAUUCAAAACUUUAUAACUUUACAAACUUUAUAAACUUAUGACUUGCGCGCGGAGCGUGUGACCGUGUGCCUAUUGAAGAAUGACCCAACGAGUUUAU
rnacentral:rRNA from 1 species